AUUGAACGCUGGCGGCAUGCCUUACACAUGCAAGUCGAACGGCAGCACGGGAGCAAUCCUGGUGGCGAGUGGCGAACGGGUGAGUAAUAUAUCGGAACGUGCCCAGUCGUGGGGAUAACGUAGCGAAAGCUACGCUAAUACCGCAUACGAUCUAUGGAUGAAAGCGGGGGAUCGCAAGACCUCGCGCGAUUGGAGCGGCCGAUAUCAGAUUAGGUAGUUGGUGAGGUAAAGGCUCACCAAGCCGACGAUCUGUAGCUGGUCUGAGAGGACGACCAGCCACACUGGGACUGAGACACGGCCCAGACUCCUACGGGAGGCAGCAGUGGGGGAAUUUUUGGGACAAUGGGCGCAAGCCUGAUCCAGCAAUGCCGCGUGCAGGAUGAAGGCCUCGGUUGUAACU
rnacentral:rRNA from 1 species